rnacentral:rRNA from 1 species
UAGGGAAUAUUGGACAAUGGGUGAGAGCCUGAUCCAGCCAUGCCGCGUGCAGGAAGAAGGCGUUAUGCGUUGUAAACUGCUUUUUGCCAGGGGAUAAAAAGACCGUGCGCGGUUAAUUGAAGGUACCUGGUGAAUAAGCCACGGCUAACUACGUGCCAGCAGCCGCGGUAAUACGUAGGUGGCAAGCGUUGUCUGGAUUUAUUGGGUUUAAAGGGUGCGUAGGUGGCCCUGUAAGUCAGUGGUGAAAUAUCUCAGCUUAACUGAGAGGGUGCCAUUGAUACUGCAGGGCUUGAGUACAGAUGAGGUAGGCGGAAUUGACGGUGUAGCGGUGAAAUGCAUAGAUAUCGUCAAGAACACCGAUAGCGAAGGCAGCUUACCAAGCUGUAACUGACACUGAGGCACGAAAGCGUGGGGAGCAAACAGGAUUAGAUACCCCCGUAGUCCCUGAGCGGGCUGGCAAGGCGCAU